GCCGGGGUGGCGGAACUGGCAGACGCACAGGACUUAAAAUGCUGCGGUGAGUGAUCACCGUACCGGUUCGAUUCCGGUCCUCGGCACCA
rnacentral:tRNA from 1 species